rnacentral:piRNA from 1 species
ACCUCAAGAUGUGCUGCGAGCUGGCC